CACGGGGGGAGCAAGCGUUGUUCGGAAUCACUGGGCGUAAAGGGCGUGUAGGCGGUCAAGUAAGUGGAAUGUGAAACGCCUCGGCUUACCCGAGGACCUGCAUCCCAAACUGCUUGGCUUGAGUAUGGGAGAGGAUGAGGGAAUUCCUGGUGUAGCGGUGAAAUGCGUAGAUAUCAGGAGGAACACCGGUGGCGAAGGCGGCAUCCUGGACCGACACUGACGCUGAGGCGCGAAAGCGUGGGGAGCAAACAGG
rnacentral:rRNA from 1 species